rnacentral:rRNA from 1 species
CAGCACCUCAAGUGGUCAGGAUGAUUAUUGGGCCUAAAGCAUCCGUAGCCGGCGCUGUAAGUUUUCGGUUAAUUCUGUACGCUCAACGUACAGGCUGCCGGGAAUACUGCAGCGCUAGGGAGUGGGAGAGGUAGACGGUACUCGGUAGGAAGGGGUAAAAUCCUUUGAUCUAUUGAUGACCACCUGUGGCGAAGGCGGUCUACCAGAACACGUCCGACGGUGAGGGAUGAAAGCUGGGGGAGCAAACCGGAUUAGAUACCCGAGUAGUCC